rnacentral:rRNA from 1 species
UACGUAGGGUCCGAGCGUUGUCCGGAAUUAUUGGGCGUAAAGGGCUCGUAGGCGGUUUGUCACGUCGGGAGUGAAAACUCAGGGCUCAACCCUGAGCGUGCUUUCGAUACGGGCAGACUAGAGGUAUUCAGGGGAGAACGGAAUUCCUGGUGUAGCGGUGGAAUGCGCAGAUAUCAGGAGGAACACCGGUGGCGAAGGCGGUUCUCUGGGCACUAACUGACGCUGAGGAGCGAAAGCAUGGGGAGCGAACAGG